rnacentral:piRNA from 1 species
UAGCUGUGACCAGGUCAAGUCUCUUGGA